rnacentral:tRNA from 1 species
GCCUUCGUAGCUUAGUUGGUAGAGCACCCGCUUAGUAAGCGGGAGGUCGUCGGUUCAACUCCGGCAGAAGGCU